rnacentral:rRNA from 1 species
CUGGCGGUCUGCUAACCUUUUCUCGACGAACCACUUCGCUAAGUCUCCCGGACGGGUGCGUAACGCGUGGGAACCUACCCUUAUGAUGCCCUAUCUUUGCGGGAAACGACAGCUUAUACCGAAUGUUCUCGUCAGGCAUAAUGUUUCUCGCCUGUCGGAUGGCGCCCGCGUUGGAUUAUCUAGUUGGGGGGGUAACGGCCUACCAAGGCUACGAUCCGUAGCUGGUCUGAGAGGAUGAUCAGCCACGCUGGGUCUGAGACACGGCCCAGACUCCUCCGGGAGGCAGCCUUGGACAAUUUUCACACAAUGGGCGAAAGCCUGAUCGAGCUAUGCCGCGUGGGUGAUGAAGGCCCUUGGGUUGUAACGCUCUUUCAUCGAAGAUGAUGAACUGACGGUACCAACUAAGAUAUUCCCCAGGAAACUCCGCGCGAUCUCGCGCUGUAAUACAGGGGAUGCAAGCAUUGCUCAGAAUUAGUGGGCAUAAAGCGCCUGAAGCGUGCUGUUCGAGGCAGGGGUGAAAUCUCGGGUCUCAACCCCAGAA